rnacentral:rRNA from 1 species
GGCCUAACACAUGCAAGUCGAACGAGAAGCUUUCCUUCGGGAAAGUGGAAAGUGGCAGACGGGUGAGUAACGCGUGGGAACGUGCCUUUCGGUCCGGAAUAACUCAGGGAAACUUGGGCUAAUACUGGAUACGCCCUUUGGGGGAAAGAUUUAUCGCCGAAAGAUCGGCCCGCGUCAGAUUAGCUUGUUGGUGGGGUAAUGGCUCACCAAGGCGACGAUCUGUAGCUGGUCUGAGAGGAUGAUCAGCCACACUGGGACUGAGACACGGCCCAGACUCCUACGGGAGGCAGCAGUGGGGAAUAUUGGACAAUGGGCGCAAGCCUGAUCCAGCCAUGCCGCGUGGGUGAAGAAGGCCCUAGGGUUGUAAACCCCUUUCAGCGGGGAAGAUAAUGACGGUACCCGCAGAAGAAGCCCCGGCUAACUCCGUGCCAGCAGCCGCGGUAAUACGGAGGGGGCUAGCGUUGUUCGGAAUUACUGGGCGUAAAGCGCGCGUAGGCGGACUUUCAAGUCAGGGGUGAAAUCCCGAGGCUCAACCUCGGAACUGCCUUUGAUACUGUAAGUCUUGAGUCCGAGAGAGGUGAGUGGAAUUCCUAGUGUAGA